rnacentral:rRNA from 1 species
UACGAAGGGGGCUAGCGUUGUUCGGAUUUACUGGGCGUAAAGCGCACGUAGGCGGAUUGGUCAGUUAGGGGUGAAAUCCCAGAGCUCAACUCUGGAACUGCCUUUAAUACUGCCAGUCUAGAGUCCGGAAGAGGUGAGUGGAACUCCUAGUGUAGAGGUGGAAUUCGUAGAUAUGGGGAGGAACACCGGUGGCGAAGGCGGCCAUCUGGACGGAUACUGACGCUGAGACGCGAAAGCGUGGGGAGCAAACAGG